GAGUCUAGGCAGGUGAUGGAUACCCAUAAAGACCAGGGAACUGGAGAGAGGGAGAUGGACUCACUAAGACUUGAUAAGAAAUGUGGGAAAGGAUUUGGUGAACUGUCAGACUCUUGGGUAAUCAGAACAGAAAACACUGCCAUCAAAUUACAACAGCAAAGAUAGAAAUUUGCUUUUAUUGGAGUAGGAGUAGAGAUUCCAAGUUUGUUCAUGUUGAGUUAAAUAUAUGUAGGACAUAGGUACCCAUACCGGACUCUUGCCCAGUGACACGUAGCAUCUUCAGUGUCCUCGGAGGUGAGGUAGACAUGAAAGGUACUUUCUACCCUGGAGUUGUUGUACUUUCCUUUCCCUAAGAAUUUCUGGUGUUCCUUACUGAAAACGGCACACGGGUUUUCCCAUGUAUGCACCUUGCAUUCAUCCAAUAAUACUUUUUAAAAUAACAUAAGCAAUCAAAGAAUACUUGAAGGGAUUUGCACCAAGGCAGAAACAGAACACCCAGGCAGUCGAAUACUGUGGCUCUGUCCUUACCUAUUCAAGCACACGGCGCUGACCUUUCAACUCGGUUGUUUUCAUUGGACAGCAGGUUGCCUAUCAGCGGAAGGACUUUAAAGACACACAUAUAAUCACAGCAGUCUGAACUAGUGGAGAAAAGUCAGACCUCCCGUGGGAAGCAGGAAAUACCUUAAGGAUUGUGGAGAAUGGCAAAGUAAAAGCAAGCUGCUGCCUCUGUCUGGCCGUCUAUGGAGCGUGCUGACAGAGGACUAAGGUGUUCCCCAGACAAGCAGGUCUCCUGAGGAAAAAGAAGCUAGUUCAAGCUCACUGAUCCCCUCCCUGCCUGUCUGGAGUGAUGCAGCAACAGCCCUUCUGCUAAUUUCCUUCUCUCUUCUUGUAGCUUCAAGAAUCUCUCAUCUUAGUCAGCUGACAGUUGGUACACUCAGGAAAGCAUCCAGGAAUUUUUUAUAUUGUGCCCUUAUUAACCAUAACACUUCUUAAGUUAAGCAACGUUAGACACAUGGCAGCUCUAAGUGUCCAGGUCUCAAUUUCUAAUUCCCAAAUCUUCCCCUCCCCUGCCACUGUUUUUGCCCCACCCCAAGACAAGAGUUUCACUAUGUAGCCCUGGCUGUCCUGGAACUAUGUAGAUCAGGCUAACCUCAAACUCAGAGAUCCGCCUGCCUCUGCCUUCUAAGGGCUGGGGUAGAAGGCGUGCAGCACCAUCCCUGGUAUGCCCUGUCACUUUUUAAUAAGAUUUACGCUUUGUUCAGUUUCAAGAUUAGGGGCUGAGGCUAGGCAGGAGACAGUGCUGAGCUACAUCUCCAGUCCUUUUAAAUGUGGGGGAGAAGGGCUUAGUAAGUUACCAGGCUGUCCUGAAUUAUAGAUGCUAUCUUCCCGGCACAGGCACAGCACCUGACCAGGACUGGCUUCACCGAAACACGGAGUACCCAUACUGAGUAACGAGCACCUGUGAAUAAGCAACUCUAGGGACGCCCUUCAUGCCGUGCACUCGUUCUGGAUAGAUGCUAUUUGUUUCCACCAUCUUUUAAAAAAUAGGCUUUCAUAUAGGAGACCCACUAUACAAAUUAAACUUCACAUUAUAAACUCUAAAGAACUCUAUACUUAUCCAAUUUAGUAUUCAAGUAUACGGGGGUGGGGAGAGCAAAUGACAACGCCUUUAUUAUUAAAGGUUACUAAGUUCCAUAAAGCACACAAAGUAACCUAUGUUCAACAAAAGGUUGGUACAUGUAUUGAAAAAUAUGUAACAAAUCUGUCUGUCUUAAUAUUUACAUUCUAUUUAAAAGUAGUUACUUUACAUAUUUUUGCAAUUUGAUUUAUAAAAUAUAUAUACCCAAAUCCUCAAGCAUGAACUUCCAUUCCUAAUCAAAUGCACAAUCUAUACUGUGAACCAAACAUUAUGGCAGCAACAACAUGAACAAAUUCAAUUUGACCUGAACAUGUACUUAAUUCGUGGCUACUAGGUAAUUAGUUCCACUCAAAUAAUUCUUUACUGUGUGCCUGUGCAUGUGUUUGCUGUUAUUAUGAAGAGACUUGCAUCUUCAUGACAUCUGGUACAAAUCUCACAACGCCUUCAGAGUCCUCUUGCAAGCUUUAAGACAGUGGAGGUUUUCAGUCUUUCUACAGACAGGGACUGUGACAAGUUACACGUCACACAAAGUCCAGAAAGAGUUUUCAGUAUGCUUUGUCUUUGAGAAAACAACCUACAUGAUUGCAUCAGCUAGUCCUGAAAACCCAGGUGGUGUGCUCACCAAGAGAGCAAGAACUCAGUCUCUGUCACCGCCAGCUCUUCACGCGCACUAGAGAGCCCAGGGGUGGGGAGACUUGAGUCUACUCAGGCCUUCCUUUCACACAAUCAAAGCAGCGCAACGCAACUUAACUAACAGAAGUUUUUAGGACAAUCUUAUAAUCACUCAGAGGUGAAAAACCACACGUUAAGUAUCAACAACUCUGAGAACUGGAAUAACUAUUACCUCACUGACCAGAUCAACGCACUUAGCAAAGAGCUAAGUCUGAAAAAUUCAGAUUCUCUGUGCCUCUAAAGAGAAUGAUGUCUAAAAUUCUGUCUUUAAAGUUAAUGAAUAAUUUAUGCUGGGAAAAAAGUCACCCAUAAAUAAUUUCAGGAAAAUAACACCAUAUCUAAAGGUAAAAACAACUCAAUGUGAGAAGCAGUAGACUCUGGGAGAGUCCCUAUCUAAAAGGAAACAAGCAGAAACCCUCCAUGUCACUACUGAGAAAUUCAACCACAGGUCACAGCUUAUUUCUGUCAAUUACCCAAUAUAUUUAACAACCUGCUGAUGAAAUGAAGUUAGGUACCAAAAUAAUAAUGUUAUUUAUAGAAAGUAGUUUUUCUUAAAAUUUCCAGAUUUAAUUUUAACAAUAUUCCAUCCUAGAUUCCCUAACUUAAAACAAAAACCAAAACCUAACUUCAAAGUCAGAAAAGUAAAUUGUGGAAGACACUGAGCAUCUGUGAGCAGAGGGGGAAAAAGGGAGCCCUCGGGAGGAAAACAAGGGCUGGAGCAGCUGCUGCAACAGACACCUUCGCAGGUCACAACUAUGCCAAAGCCUUAGAGAUCUUGGCACAACACGCACCAGAGCUGACUUUCAGGCUCUGGGGCCAACUGCUGGGCUCUGACAUGGUGCAAAUGGAGCUCAGGGCCUCCUCAGGGCAGCUGCCACUGAGUGACACUCUCAGCCCUAAAAAUGAAUCUUCAGAAAGGUACUUUUUGUAAACCAAUUUACAUGCAUAUUCAACUAAACAUAAUUAUAAAUGUUAAGCUUUCAACUAAGAUAUAUAAAAAACUAAUAAAAAUAAAACCAACCUUUGAAUACACAGUACCUCCUCUUCUACUCUUCUAAAAAGUUUUAACAAGUUUUAAACAUUGCAAUUCUCAAAAACAAUAGGGUUUUUUAAAAGAUUCCAUUACCAGAAAUAACUUAUCUACAUGCCACUGUUGUAUCACUAAUCAUUUCUAUUACUGCCAAUUUAUCUUUAAUGGAACAAACCAGUCACUAGGUAUCUGUUUUAGAAUCUCAAAAAAUUACUAACCAUUGCAGGAAACUAAUGAUAUGUGUGUGUUUGCAUAUAUUUAAAGUCAGAAGGAGAAACAGUAAAGCACCCUAGUUACUCCUCUACACCCACUCGAAGGAACAAGGAUCACCGCCCUUCUCCCCCGGACUGCUGACCACAUAAAAGUGCCAUCCCUUUCUCCCAGGGCUUGAAAAAUGCUCUUUCCCGCUGGCUACACCAAUAAUUACACAUUAUACGAUUUUAGCAGUAAAUAUUGACUUCUGAAGAGAACAACAAACUGCAUCUUUACAAAAUUUUCCCACAAAACUGAAAAUAACUUUCUCCAUUAAGACUAUAGCAUUUGUCUUUAUUCAUAAGGGCACCAAGUUCAUAACUGCAGAAACAAGGAGCUGCGUGGGUCACAAGUGUUUAAAACGCUGGAGGGAGAGACAGACAGACAGACACAGACUUUAAGUGUAAAAUAUAAUGUUGCAGGUUAGUACUCAAUGGCGGGAAUUCAGGGAGGAGGAAAUGAGCUCAGAGUACCUCAUAUAAAUUUCUUGUAAUCCUGGUUCUCUUUCAAUAAUGUUACAGCAAAAUAUUUGUUUUAUUGAAGCCACAAUUUUCCCUCACCUGAACAAUGACCCAGAUACACAUCUUACAUCUUUAAUAAUGUCAAACAAAUGCAAGUGUAAAAGAAUUUUCAAUGACUCCUAAAUUCAAGGGAGUAGUAUUAAUCUGAUUAUUAUUUAUUAAUAGUUGAUGUUCCUAUAUUUUAGAUAUAUAUUCCUUGUUUCUUCACUUGGAACCAAAAGUAAACAAAAAUUGUCUGGUUUCCACUCUUUCCGUCCAUCUCGCUGAAUCUGUGUUCUAGAUCUGUACAUACAAAGGUAUAAAACACUGAGUCUGUGUUCUAGAUCUGUACAUACAGAGGCAUAAAACACUGAAUCUGUGUUCUAGAUCUGUACACACAGAGGUACAUUAAAACACUGAGUCUGUGUUCUAGAUCUGUACGUACAGAGGUAUUAAAACACUGAGUCUGUGUUCUAGAUCUGUACAUACAGAGGUAUAUUAAAACAGAGUCUGUGUUCUAGAUCUGUACACACAGAGGUAUAUUAAAACAGUGAGUCUGUGUUCUAGAUCUGUACACACAGAGGUAUAUUAAAACACUGAAUCCGUGUUCUAGAUCUGUACAUACAGAGGUAUAUUAAAACACUGAAUCCGUGUUCUAGAUCUGUACAUACAGAGGUAUAUUAAAACACUGUCGUAAAGACAACUCAAGCUGGCACCUGAUGCUACUGCACUGCUAAUGCCUGGCCUGGCGUAUCGAUUCCUUUGGUGAAUAAGCAUCACAGUUCACUUCCCAUGGGAGGAUUUUAGUAAGAGGACUACGAACACAGAAAAGCUCCCCGUCUUGCCCCACCCUACCCUGAAAAAAAUCAAGCUAUUUAGUAUUUUAGAGCAGCGACAUAAAAUAUGGGAACACCUAAUUUAGAGCUAUAAUUCCAUAUUAAAAGCAGUGGAAAACUAAGAAUUUAAAGAUUUUUUUUGUCUUAAAUAGGCCAACUAAUAAAACUAACGAUGAUCACCGGGAGAACUCAUGCACAUCCAGUCGACAGAAGAAAAUGAUUACAAUCUUUAACAAAUGACCAUUGCUACCUAGCAGUAUAAACAGGCUCCACAAUUUGGUGGCUGGCCAUAAUUUUAAUUUUUUUUCAAGUUAUUUCUACAGCAGACAUAUUUUUGAAGUCUACCCACCCCUGAGUUCAGCAGUUAUCUUUUAGAGUGUAAAAUUAUAUGCCCUUAAUUAACAACAUGUACAAAGCUACAAAAUGUCAUCUACACAGAGAUUAAAAACAAUUUUUAAAAUAUUCUUUCCCAAUCAUCAGCUGGAUGAUCUUAGGGGUACAUAUGUCAGACCUUUCGGCCAACUGGCUUUAGUUUUUAAGCCCCAAUCGAUGAAUAGAGUCACUGCAGGAUAUUCGAAGAGUGCAACAGUAAGGCAUUAGUAAAAAUGACAUUGUCAUAGAAACAGAGCUUGCAUAUGUGAAAAGGUAAUUUAUAAAAUACAUUAAUUGAUUCUUAAAAAGACCUAGUUGUAGCAUCAUUAACUUACAUGGUACAUGGUACUUAGAAUGGAAUCUUUCCAACAACCAUCUUAUAGAUUAGAUAUAGACAGAUAGACAAGUACAGAUGACAGACAGAAAAACUUCAUCUAGCGGUAAGCAAAAUCUUUUCAACAAAUAAAACAAAUUCUUCCAAGAAAACCUGUAUGGUUGUGUGAGACAAAUCUGCAAACAUAUCAUUUUAUGGUGUUCUUUUGUCAAAAUCUUAAAAUAAAAAUGUCCACACUCUUUUGUUAAAACAUUAAGCCUCUGUCAAAAAUGUAUUUCUCAUUUUAGGGUACAGGAUUGAAGGACAAGAUGAUACAAGUAAAGAAAAUUUACAAGAAAAAAACUUGACAAAAGUCUUUCAAUUAAAGUACUGUAACAUUCAAACAACUUAAAAUGUAACAAAAGAAACAAGAUUACAAACAAAAAUGUUUAUGGAUUUCCAAACAUAAAUAAAUGAAAUAGUGUUUAGGCAGUAGGGCUCAUGCUGAUGGCUAGCAGGAAGUAACAGAGUGUAAUAUACUUGGGGGAAAAAAAAAACAGGCCCAAAUGAUGGGUGGCAGUAAUUUAAGCAUCACUGCCAACU